rnacentral:lncRNA from 1 species
AUGGAGUGCACUUGCAGCAGCGUCAAUGAAGGGAACGGUUGUGGAUUGGCGGUGGACGGUGACACAAGUACGUUCUGGCAUAGCAAGUUUAAACCAGAAGAUGAGCCUUUACCGCACACUUUCACGAUUGACUUGGGAGAAGUCACGCUCGUAAAUGGCAUGGCAAUGGUGUCACGACAAGACGGUAGCAACCAUGGACGCGUGUAUAUGCACGAAAUCCGAUGCGAUGAUAAGCUUGUCGCGUACGGUACGUGGGCUGCGGAUGAGUUUGAGAAGUUCUCCACCUUCCAGCCUAUAGGGUGCCGCAAAGUCAGUCUUACUCACACGAAAGGGGUAGACGAUCAACCGUGGACUUGCAUAGCUGAGUUGAAAUUCUUUAAACCAGACGCCGCAGCUACGAAGGAUACAACGCUGGGAGCUUGGCUUCACACCAUCGAUAUGCCUAUGGUUCCUACCGCCUGCGCCGUAAAUCACAAAGGGCAGGUCAUAGCAUGGGCCUCCUGGACGGGUGACCAAUUCACAAAUGGUCCAGGUGGUAAAACGAUAACUAGCGUCGUGGAUAUGGAAAAAAUGACGGUCACAGAACGCAUGGUCACCGAAACGGAUCAUGACAUGUUCUGUCCUGGUAUUUCCACGGGCCAACACGGAGUUAUGCUUGUGACUGGUGGUAACAACGCUGCUAAAACAAGCAUAUACAAAAUGGAGGACGACACCUGGAGCCCGGCGCCGGACAUGACCAUUUCGCGCGGCUAUCCCGCUUCCACCACCUGCUCGGACGGAAGAAUGUUCGUGAUCGGCGGAUCGUGGAGCGGUGGCGAAGGCGGCAAGAACGGAGAAAUAUUCGACCUCGACACAAGACAGUGGACUGAACUUCCAGGGUGUCGGGUGGACCCUAUGGUGACGGGCGACAGGCAAGGUGUCUACCGGGGAGAUAACCAUGGUUGGCUGUUCGGCUGGAAAGGUAACACCGUGUUCCAGGCUGGUCCGAGCAAGAAUAUGAACUGGUACUCGGUCGACGGUAAGGGUGCCGUUAAGGGUGCCGGCACACGGGCCAAUGACAAUGACGCCAUGUGUGGUACCGCUGUGAUGUGGGAUGAAGGCGAAAUCUGCACUUUCGGCGGAUCACCUGAUUACACUGACUCGGAGGCCUCACAAAAUGCGUUCUGCAUGACCAUCAAAGACCCCAACACGAAUGUAGACGUCCGCGCCGUGACAAACAUGGCCUUCCGACGCAUCUUCCACAACGCUGUGGUCAUGCCGGAUGGUAACAUUUGGAUUUGCUGCGGACAGGAAGUUGGCCAGCCGUUCAGCGAUGAUAAAUCUCACACUAUACCGGAAAUCUACAAUCCUAAGGACAAUACGAUGAAGCAACUUUCACCGGGUAACGUUCCUCGUAACUACCACUCGACCGCCGUUCUUCUUAAGGACGGUUGUAUCGCAUCAGGUGGAAGCGGCUUGUGCGGAACCUGCACCACGAACCACCCCAACUUCCAAGUUUACUGUCCUCCGUAUCAUUUCGACAAGGAUGGAAAUGAAGCAGUCCGACCUAAGAUCAUCAGUAUGUCAACUGAGAACGCAGUACACGGAGAUACAGUUACGAUGACAACCGAUAGUGAAGUAGCAAGUGCGUGCAUAAUACGUUUAGGCAGCACUACACACACUGUAAAUACCGAUCAAAGGCGAAUUUCGUUAAAGGUAGAAAAACAACAACAAAGAAACGGGGACCCCUUUACGUGGUCCUUUAAGGUGCCUGACGACCCUGGUGUUUGUAUUCCGGGCUAUUACUGGUUGUUCAUGCUCAACCAUCAAAAAGUACCGUGUAAUGCGAGGAUAAUGCACGUGGGACUUAAGAAAAAGAAUUGA